GGUAUAGCGUACUCGACGUUCGAAGCGUAUAAGCCACAAUUUUAUAGUCGAUUCAAUUGCUUAAUUUAACUUUAAACAGGAAUAUUAUUUUUCCUCACUAGGAGCGCAUUUCAUUAAAUUGUAUCUAUAUAUAUGUUUGCUGUUGUUGUUGUUGCUGUUGAGUUUAUAAAAUAUUUAAGAACAACCGUGGUGAAUCUGUAGACUAUCUCUCUACCAUUGAACUUCUCGAAUACAAGCUUCACGAAGAAUAAGAAGAAAAAAACGCUCAAACAAGUUAUAAAAAGCUACAUUUGAGUUAAUCAAUUUUAAUGCCAGCUGUAUGCAUUGAUCUCGUUGCAAAGACUCUCGACAGUCAUAAAUUCGUGGAAUGUAGGCGUGAAGGAGUUAUAUUUAAACAAAACCACAACAACAACAAAAAGAUCACAACACACUAUCAAUUGAAUCACGCAUUCUUUGCAUCAAUAAAUGCGGUGGU